GACGAACGCUGGCGGCGUGCUUAACACAUGCAAGUCGAGCGGUAAGGCCCUUUCGGGGGUACACGAGCGGCGAACGGGUGAGUAACACGUGGGUGACCUGCCCUCAGCUCUGGGAUAAGCCUGGGAAACCGGGUCUAAUACUGGAUAUGACUCCAUGACGCAUGUUGUGGGGUGGAAAGCCUUGUGCGGCUGAGGAUGGGCCCGCGGCCUAUCAGCUUGUUGGUGGGGNGAUGGCCUACCAAGGCGACGACGGGUAGCCGGCCUGAGAGGGCGACCGGCCACACUGGGACUGAGACACGGCCCAGACUCCUACGGGAGGCAGCAGUGGGGAAUCUUGCGCAAUGGGCGAAAGCCUGACGCAGCGACGCCGCGUGAGGGAUGACGGCCUGGUUGUAAC
rnacentral:rRNA from 1 species